UCUCCCCUAGCGUGUUCCACGCGAGCAGUGAAACCCGGCCGACCCACAGGGUGCCAGAGCACUGAAGAGCUAAAAAUAUAACCGGGGUGCUAGCAACAGCCUUCCGGUUGGUCGGCGAGCAGGGAGAGGCGGCUUCUGAUUGGGUUUCCCAUCCCACCGCUAGGAUUAAGAACUGGGGCCAAAAGCACUGGCGCCGGGCCCUUGGGAAAAGUGUGCGUUUGCGCAGUGGGGAGCUGCAAAGGAUGCUGGUAUUUGAAGUCAUGAGAGGGAGAAAUGGUUUUGAAUCCCAAUUGUGUCCACCAACCGUGUUAUCUUGAUUUAAUGUGUAACAAAUCUCUUUACUUCAUCAAACGUACUUUCCUGUUCUUAAAAUGGAGACCGUGUGAGGAUUAAAUAUGAUACAGGAUGUAAAGCAUGGUUCAAAUAGUUGGUAUCCUUAAUUUAAAGAUGACCGUUCAGGCCAGAUUGCCUCCUGCGUACCCUGUGCACGGUUCGGUAUGUAUUCCUGAGCAAGAAACCUUAGUAUACAGAAUGAUGAGAAAGAAAGGCUAGGGUGAGCGGAAACGAAUUCUCCUAGGGCAUCUCAGGAAGGAGGAAUGGAGUCCAUAUAAGUAGAUAAAGGGUAGACGUCUCUUACCUAAAUUUAGUGCAGGCUGAAGGAGGGCGCACAGAAUCCCUGGACAGAAGACAUAGGAUUUCUGCGUGUUCGUGCUUUUGUUCUAAUUUCCCCUGCAGUGCUGGAGACACACCAGGCCUGAGCAACUUAACUAAAACAAAACUGAGAAAUCCAGCCUCCUUGGCAGUUGGGAGCUCUGGGUAAAGGGUUGGCAUAUAUAGGAAGGGAUAAAAUAGAGGGGCAAAAGGUAAUCACCAUUCUUAACUGCUGAUGUCUCCACUUGUCACGUGGUGAGGAGGAGAGAGGACGUUUUCUCUCCUCGGUGUGUGACUUCAUCUUGCCAGGGCCUAAUUGUGAGCUUAAUUCCACUGGAGCAUUCCACAGUCCUCUCCCAUUUUAGAUAAUGAUAGGUUGAAAGGUACACACCGUGUUUUCAACGUGGUGAGCUUCAGAAGCAACUCCCCUGUCUGAGAGUAAGUUACACCAGAUGUUUUGUUGCCUUGACAAGUCAGGUUGGUAAUAAUUAACCCCAAUUAACUCUCAGGGGUGAGUCACUCUCUCGUACACGCAUGCCAGGGUGAACAAUUUUGUACUUCCUUUUGUGUUAUCUAAGAAAAUAGCUCCUCAUGUUUGAUUUUUUCAGAAGCCCUGAUCCAGCUGGGCAGAAGCAAAGACAACCCCAACAAAACUGGCUUCAGAGAAGUAUCUGGAUGCAGGGCAAGUGGUUCGCUCUUUAUUCACCAAUGAGCCCUUGAUGCAAAAUAACUGCCUUUUAUUGGACGACACCCAGCUGACCUCACAGAACUUGAGGAAAUUAUAACCUGCGUGCCUAGCUGAACAUAGUAAUCUCUAUGAGCCAUAGGAGUUUGCCCUGGUUGGCAAGAGUUACUAAAUAAAAGCAGCAAAGGUCAGAUGGAAA